UACGUAGGGGGCGAGCGUUGUCCGGAGUUACUGGGCGUAAAGGGCAUGCAGGCGGUCGGACGCGUUUCGGGUGACAGCGGGUGGCUUAACUACCCGAGUGGUCGAAAGACGGUUUGACUUGAGGACGCGAGAGGGACACGGAAUUCCGGGUGGAGUGGUGAAAUGCGUAGAGAUCCGGAGGAACACCGAAGGCGAAGGCAGCGUCCUGGCGCGUAACUGACGCUGAGGUGCGAAAGCCAGGGGAGCGAACGGG
rnacentral:rRNA from 1 species